rnacentral:rRNA from 1 species
CCAGGGUAAGUCGGGACCUAAGGCGAGGCCGACAGGCGUAGUCGAUGGAUAACCGGUUGAUAUUCCGGUACCCGCUGUGAAGCGUCAAACAUCGAGCAUCGUGAUGCUAAGGCCGUGAAGCCGCCCUGAUCUCUUCGGAGUUGAGGGGAGUGGUGGAGCCGCCGGACCAAGCGGUUAGUAGGUGAGUGAUGGGGUGACGCAGGAAGGUAGUCCAGCCCGGGCGGUGGUUGUCCCGGGGUAAGGGUGUAGGCCGCAAGGUAGGCAAAUCCGCCUUGCACAUGGCUGAGACCUGAUGCCGAGCCGAUUGUGGUGAAGUGGAUGAUCCUAUGCUGUCGAGAAAAGCCUCUAGCGAGUUUCAUGGCGGCCCGUACCCUAAACCGACUCAGGUGGUCUGGUAGAGAAUACCGAGGCGUUCGGGUGAACUAUGGUUAAGGAACUCGGCAAAAUGCCCCCGUAACUUCGGGAGAAGGGGGGCCACACCCGGUGAAGGAACUUGCUUCCUGAGCUGGGGGUGGCCGCAGAGACCAGCGAGAAGCGACUGUUUACUAAAAACACAGGUCCGUGCGAAGCCGUAAGGCGAUGUAUACGGACUGACGCCUGCCCGGUGCUGGAACGUUAAGGGGACCGGUUAGUCACUCUUCGGGGUGGCGAAGCUGAGAACUUAAGCGCCAGUAAACGGCGGUGGUAACUAUAACCAUCCUAAGGUAGCGAAAUUCCUUGUCGGGUAAGUUCCGACCUGCACGAAUGGCGUAACGACUUCUCGACUGUCUCAACCAUAGGCCCGGUGAAAUUGCACUACGAGUAAAGAUGCUCGUUUCGCGCAGCAGGACGGAAAGACCCCGGGACCUUUACUACAGUUUGAUAUUGGUGUUCGGUUCGGCUUGUGUAGGAUAGCUGGGAGACUUUGAAACGCGGACGCCAGUUCGUGUGGAGUCGUCGUUGAAAUACCAGUCUGGUCGUGCUGGAUGUCUAACCUGGGUCCGUGAUCCGGAUCAGGGACAGUGUCUGAUGGGUAGUUUAACUGGGGCGGUUGCCUCCUAAAGGGUAACGGAGGCGCCCAAAGGUUCCCUCAGCCUGGUUGGCAAUCAGGUGUUGAGUGUAAGUGCACAAGGGAGCUUGACUGUGAGACCGACGGGUCGAGCAGGGACGAAAGUCGGGACUAGUGAUCCGGCGGUGGCUUGUGGAAGCGCCGUCGCUCAACGGAUAAAAGGUACCCCGGGGAUAACAGGCUGAUCUUCCCCAAGAGUCCAUAUCGACGGGAUGGUUUGGCACCUCGAUGUCGGCUCGUCGCAUCCUGGGGCUGGAGUCGGUCCCAAGGGUUGGGCUGUUCGCCCAUUAAAGCGGUACGCGAGCUGGGUUUAGAACGUCGUGAGACAGUUCGGUCCCUAUCCGCUGUGCGCGUAGGAGUCUUGAGAAGGGCUGUCCCUAGUACGAGAGGACCGGGACGGACGAACCUCUGGUGUGCCAGUUGUUCUGCCAAGGGCAUGGCUGGUUGGCUACGUUCGGGAGGGAUAACCGCUGAAAGCAUCUAAGCGGGAAGCCUGCUUCGAGAUGAGGACUCCCACCCCUUUGAUGGGGUAAGGCUCCCAGUAGACGACUGGGUUGAUAGGCCGGAUCUGGAAGCCAGGUAACUGGUGGAGGUGACCGGUACUAAUAGGCCGAGGGCUUGUCCUC